rnacentral:rRNA from 1 species
CCUACGGGAGGCAGCAGUGAGGAAUAUUGGUCAAUGGGCGUAAGUCUGAACCAGCCAAGUCGCGUGCGGGAUGAAGGUUCUAUGGAUCGUAAACCUCUUUUAUAAGGGAAUAAAGUGUGGGACGUGUCCUAUUUUGUAUGUACCUUAUGAAUAAGGAUCGGCUAACUCCGUGCCAGCAGCCGCGGUAAUACGGAGGAUCCGAGCGUUAUCCGGAUUUAUUGGGUUUAAAGGGUGCGUAGGCGGCCUUUUAAGUCAGCGGUGAAAGGCUGGGGCUCAACCAUGGAAUUGCCGUUGACACUGGGGGGCUAGAGGAUGGUUGAGGCAGGCGGAAUGCGUGGUGUAGCGGUGAAAUGCUUAGAGAUCACGCAGAACCCCGAUUGCGAAGGCAGCCUGCCAAGCCAUGACUGACGCUGAUGCACGAAAGCGUGGGGAGCAAACAGGAUUAGAUACCCCAGUAGUC